CUCAACCCUGAACCGAGGAACGAUCCAGUCCAAUUCUACUUACUUACUUAUUUUUGGCUGCACCGUGCCCUAUGGACGUUCCCAGGCCAGGGACGAAAUCUGAGCUGCAGCUGCAACCUACGCCACAGCCGCAGCAAUGCUGGAUCCUUAACCCACUGCACCACAGCAGGAACUCCCCGGUUUUUCUUUCCAUGUUAAGCCUUAUCUCAAAUCUGGAAGACUAACGGUAAACCUUUAGCCACAACCCCUGUACCACGUUGGGGCUUCACAUCACAAAAAACUGACAAAUAUUCUCAAACUCUGCCCUCAGCACCGUGAUUUGUUCUCUGGCAGAACGUGCUUUGUUCUGUACUCCUCAGUACACUUUGCUGUAACGUAAGAUGCACAGGGGUGUGUGUGUGUUGUGUUGUGUGUGUGUGUGUGUGUGUGUGUCGCGUGUGUGUGUCGUGUGGGUGUGUGUGGUGUGUGUUGUGUGGUGGUGUUGUGUUGUGUGGGUGGGUGUGUGUGGUGGGUGUGUUCUGUGUGUGUGGGUGUGGUGUGUGUGGCAUAUGUGGUGUGUGUGUGUAUUGUGUGUAUGUGUGUGUGGUAUGUGUGUGUUGUGUGGUAUGGUGUGUGUGGUGUGUGUGGUGUGUGUGUGUGUUCUCUGUGUGCGUGGUGUGUGUGUUGUGUUGCGUAUGUGUGGGGUGUUGUGUGUGUGUGGUGUGUGUGGUAUGUGUGGUGUGUGUUGUGUGUGUCUGUGUGGUGUGUGGUGUGUUGUGUUGCGUCUGUGUGUUGUGUUGUGUGUGUGGUGUGUGUGUGGUGUGGUGUGUGUGUGGUGUGUUAUGUGUGUGGUAUGUUGUGUGUGUGGUAUGUUGUGUGUGUUCUGUGGGUGUGGGUGUGGUGUGUGUGUGUGUGUGUGUGUGUGUGUGUGUUGGGUGUGGUCCCUCUUCCGUACUUCCUAGAACUGACACGUGUUUCACGUCCAUCUUCUGCUUCCAGGAAGACGGAGCCCACUCUCUGUCCUCUGUCCCUCGUCAUGAACAACUGAGUACCCGACGCUGUGCACAGAACAAAGCUCGGAAGACUCUGGAAGGUGGAGAGAGGACGACGUUGGCUGAGACCUCGGAACCCGAGGAACAGCACGUGGUGAGUUCUCUGGGUUUGCUGUUGGCCUGUGUCUCUCACGCCGGCAGCUGCAGAAACCAGCAACCCAGAAAUACCAACGGGCCCAGACGAAAAACCCAGAAGCCUGCAUCUCGUGUGAGCAGCCCGGCGUGACAAGGUGCCCCAGUGCCACCACCAGGGCGGCAUCCACGGCCCAGGGGAUACGAAGGCUCCCACCACUGUCCCUUGGUAGCAGUGGAGGCCUCGCGGGGUUGGAACACCCCCUUCUGCCAGGCGGUAAGAAACCCCCGACGCAAGUCACUGAGGCCGUGGGAACCCGAAACUCCUCCAUCCCUCCCUCGAGUAAGGGGCUGGCACCGCAGCUCCUUCGCUGGAGUGAGGUCAGAGCCCGUGACACCAGGGCUGCAGGAGAGACCCAGAGGCUUGCGGCAUAACCCCCCCCCCAAGUCCAGGUUUCAAUUAAAAAGUCACUCAUCAUAUCAAGAACCAGAAAAAUCCGGAGUUCCCAUUGUGGUGCAGCGGAAACAAAUCCAACUAGGAACCAUGAGGUUGCGAGUUCGAUCCCUGGCCUCACUCAGUGGGUUAAGGAUCUGGGGUUGCCGUGAGCUGUGGUGUAGGUCACAGAUGUGGCUUGGAUCUGGCGUUUCUGGGGCUGUGGCGGAGGCCAGCAGCUGUAGUUCUGAUUCGUCCCCUAGCCUGGGACCCUCCAUAUGCCGUGGGUGCAGCCUAGAAAGACCAAAGCCAAAAAAGCCAGAAAAAUCUCAAUCAGAAUGAAAAAACACAACCCAAGGUGCCAAACCAAGACGACAGAGAUGGUACAAUUUUCUGAAAAAGGUUUCAAAGUUGACAUAAAAAAAAAAAAUGCAUCAACAAGCAAUUUCAAACCAUCUGGAAACAAAUGGAAAAAAAAUAGAAAAUGUGAGCAAAGAAAUGGAAAGUCUCAGCUAAGAAACAGGAGCUGUAAAGAAGAACGAAGUGGCAUUUUGAAACCUGAAAGAUACAGGAACCAGACGAACCCUUCCCAGGCUGGGCUGCGUAGCUGACUGGGGGGAAAGAAGAAGGCACUGGUGAGAUGGGGGAUUAAACAGCUGCAAACACUCAUCUCUAAAGCCUCAAGAAAGGAGCUCAACAUACAGCCAGAGCAGGCACGAGGGCGGCAUAAAUAAAUCCCAGGAAAUGCAUGAGCGGACGGCUGGA
rnacentral:lncRNA from 1 species